ensembl:lncRNA
GGUGGGACUGACAGCUGUCUGUUUCUGUAGGAAGACUAACAUCAAGACCAACAAGAUGAUCAUAACCAACAUCCUUUUGGAGAGAACGGACAAUCAUCUGAACAUGAUAAUGUAAGAAUCACUGUUUUAUGACUUUCAGUUUCAUGUUGCUUUUUUAUGAAACAAAAUACCCCUUACCGUUUUACAAUAAUGUUGUUUUAAAGGCCUGAAGUGACAUUUUUUUCUUUCUCUAGUAUGAUAUAUAUCACCUGUACAACUCAAUCCCAGACAGAACUGCAGCCUCAGCCCAGACAGAUGGGUUUUACAGUCUUCUGAUGACA